CUGAUGCUGAAGAGGAACAGUCUGACACCUUUGAAGGUCUGAAGGGAACAUUUGCCAUCUAUUCUCUCUGAGGGUUGCUACCUGUGAGAUUUCAUCUAUA